rnacentral:rRNA from 1 species
CCUACGGGUGGCAGCAGUGAGGAAUAUUGGUCAAUGGUCGGAAGACUGAACCAGCCAUGCCGCGUGAAGGAGGACGGUACGAAGUAUCGUAAACCGCUUUUGUCAAGGGGCAAAGACUAAGACGCGUCCCCUGCUGAAUGUACCUUACGAACAAGGAUCGGCUAACUCCGUGCCAGCAGCCGCGGUAAUACAGAGGAUGCAAGCGUUAUCCGGAUUUAUUGGGUUUAACGGGUGCGGAGGCGGGUGGUUAAGUCAGCGGUGCAAGGUCCGGGCUUAACCCGGGGACUGCUGUUGAAACUGUCAGUCUAGAGUUGGAGAGCAGUAGGCGGAAUGCGUGGUGUAGCGGUGAAAUGCAUAGAUAUCGCGCAGAACUCCGAUUGCGAAGGCAGCAUGCC